GCAAUGAAGAAAGUUCUUAUUCAAAACAAUGAAGAGUUAGAGUUGGUGAAAGAGGAGAUCCGCGUUUCGUCUCUGUUUAGCCAUCCCAAUCUGCUUCCUCUCCUGGAUCACGCCAUCAUUUCGGUCAAGGCCUCACAAGACCAGUCUAGGAAGCAGGAAGCUUACUUGUUAUUUCCAGCCCAUAUGGAUGGGACAUUACUGGACAGUAUGAAAGCCAUGCAAGCAAAACAGGAGUUCUUUUCCACUUUGGAGGUGCUUCAAAUAUUUCAUCAGCUCUGUGCAGGUCUCAAGCAUAUGCAUAGCUUUGAUCCUCCGUAUGCACAUAAUGAUGUCAAACCUGGUAAUGUCCUGCUAACUCAUAGAAGAGAACAACCACCUCUUGCAGUAUUAAUGGACUUUGGAAGUACACGUCCUGCAAGAAAGCAAAUCCGCUCUCGUCAAGAGGCAUUGCAGCUGCAGGAAUGGGCAGCUGAGCAUGUUUCCGCACCCUUCCGAGCACCUGAAUUAUGGGAUUGCCCAAGCCAAUGUGAUAUUGAUGAAAGAACUGAUAUCUGGUCAUUAGGUUGUACAUUAUAUGCAAUAAUGUAUGGAGUAUCUCCCUUUGAAUACGCACUUGGGGAAUCUGGUGGAAGUCUGCAGCUGGCUAUUGUA
rnacentral:misc_RNA from 1 species